rnacentral:rRNA from 1 species
UACAGGGGGUGCAAACGUUGCUCGGAAUCAUUGGGCGUAAAGCGCACGUAGGCGGUUCGUUAUGUCGGAUGUGAAAGCCCUUGGCUUAACCGAGGAAGUGCAUCCGAAACUGGCGAGCUAGAGUACGAAAGAGGAUCGCGGAAUUCCCGGUGUAGAGGUGAAAUUCGUAGAUAUCGGGAAGGAACACCGGUGGCGAAGGCGGCGAUCUGGGUCGAUACUGACGCUGAGGUGCGAAAGCGUGGGGAGCAAGACGG